GGGAUAGCUCAAGUCGGUAGAGCAUGAGACUCUUAAUUUCAGGGUUGUGGUUUUGAGCCCCACUUUGGGCA